GCCUAAAGGGAGCGGGGGCAGGGGGAGGGGUGGCGUGGUCCUCCAAGACAACUUGCUGGAACUGAAGGAGGUCCACCAGGAACUGGAGCCAGCCUCCAGCAGGGCUGGGAUUUCUGGUCAAAGCCAGAGGGGUUUUGGGCUGCAGGGGUCUGAGGCAGGGCUUCGGGAAUUAGCCACUGAUUCCGAGUUUGAUUCUGUCCAUGUGUGUGACCUAGGAUAGGAUUGCCCUUCUGCCGUCUCAGUUCCUUAUCUGAAAGACGAAGGGUUUGAGAUUGGAGAGCCUUCAGUCCUCUAGAUUUUAAGAGCCUUCAAACUCUGGUACAGAUUUUGGGACUGGUGGGAGUCCUUUUGGACAGUGCACAUCUCUGAGAUCUGUGUCACUCCACCUAUGGUCCAAAGGCCAGCAGCAUCAGCAGCACCUGGGGACCUGAUAGAGAUGCAAAAUCACACCUGAGGCGAUGUUCUAAAGGAGCAAAUAGAAACAAGCAAUGUCUGGAGACCUGGACCCAGCACUGGAACGCUCUUCUUCUGCCGUGGUCUUCUUGGGCAUGCAAAUCACAAGCCACCCCAGAUCCGAAGGCUGCAGAGGCAGACCCUGACUUGUGAUGGGAGAAGCUGCAGGUCACAACUGGAAAUGAGCCUGGGUACCGGCAGAUGUGACAGUUGGGUCUGUUGCUGCAGGCGUUCGGCCAUAAAUGUGUCCUCCAGGGAAGCAGGUUGACUUCAUGGUCUCAGAUUGCAUCUCCACUCCUCCACCUUCAGCUUUCACUCUUGUCUUGCUCAUCCUUGUGUAACAAGCGUUAUCCUGUUGUCUGUUGCGGAGGCUGCCACUGCUGGCUGCUGUGAAUACAGAAGUGAAUGAAGCAUACUCCCAGCUUAACUUGAGCUUAAAGAAAGUUGUGGUUCUUUUAGUGGUGAAGUUACUGCACACGUCCCCAACCCUGCGUGGUGUUCUUUAUCUGACAUCCUCCUGCUAUAAUGACUGCUGAAGCCUCAGCCCUCUGGGACAGAGGCUGCUUCCUGUAGGUGUGCAGGAAGUGUGUCACCCACCAGUGGGACGGGCUAUUUCUGAACACGCUUCAGAGAGAAAGCACGUUUCCCUGUAAGCACAGCCAUAUGCCACAUCUUGAAUGUUAGAAUUUAGCCACCGCUGAAUCAUCUAGAGAUGAAAUAAAGGUUAUGAGUGUUUUUUAAAGUAGAAAUAAAGGCCUUUCAGCUCUAUUUUUAUAACUUCCUUCUGAUUAUAAAAGAAAUAGGAGUAUCUAUUGUAACAAAUUAGAAAAUCUGAAAUGUAUGAUGAAGGAAAUAAAAAUCACCUAUUGCUCAUGAAUGGUUAUAUCAACAUGCACGUGCAUUAAUUUUGU
rnacentral:lncRNA from 1 species